rnacentral:rRNA from 1 species
AUUGAACGCUGGCGGCAGGCCUAACACAUGCAAGUCGAGCGAGCGGCGGACGGGUGAGUAAUGUAUGGGGACUGCCCGAUAGAGGGGGAUAACUACUGGAAACGGUAGCUAAUACCGCAUACUAUCGGAUAACCCAUAUGGGAUUAGCUAGUAGGUGAGGUAAUGGCUCACCUAGGGGACGAUCCCUAGCUGGUCUUAGAGGAUGAUCAGCCACCCUGGAACUAAGACACAGCCCAGACUCCUGCGGAGGCAGCAGUGGGGAAUAUUGCACAAUGGGCGGAAGCCUGUGGCAGCCAUGCCGGGUGUAUGAAGAAGGCCCUAGGGUUGUAAAGUACUUUCAGUCGGGAGGCGUUACCGGCAGGAGAAGCACCGGCUAGCUCCGUACCAGCAGCCGCGGUAAUAC